CCUACAGGGGGCUGCAGUGGGGAAUAUUGGACAAUGGGGGGAACCCUGAUCCAGCCAUGCCGCGUGUGUGAAGAAGGCCCUCGGGUUGUAAAGCACUUUCAGUGAGGAAGAACGCCUGGUGGUUAAUACCCAUCAGGAAAGACAUCACUCACAGAAGAAGCACCGGCUAACUCCGUGCCAGCAGCCGCGGUAAUACGGAGGGUGCGAGCGUUAAUCGGAAUUACUGGGCGUAAAGCGCGCGUAGGUGGCUUGAUAAGCCGGUUGUGAAAGCCCCGGGCUCAACCUGGGAACGGCAUCCGGAACUGUCAAGCUAGAGUGCAGGAGAGGAAGGUAGAAUUCCCGGUGUAGCGGUGAAAUGCGUAGAGAUCGGGAGGAAUACCAGUGGCGAAGGCGGCCUUCUGGACUGACACUGACACUGAGGUGCGAAAGCGUGGGUAGCAAACAGGAUUAGAUACCCUUGUAGUC
rnacentral:rRNA from 1 species